rnacentral:rRNA from 1 species
UACGGAGGGUGCAAGCGUUAUCCGGAAUCAUUGGGUUUAAAGGGUCCGUAGGCGGCUUUAUAAGUCAGUGGUGAAAGCCUGAUGCUUAACAUCAGAACUGCCAUUGAUACUGUAAGUCUUGAAUUCGAUCGAAGUGGGCGGAAUAUGACAUGUAGCGGUGAAGUGCUUAGAUAUGUCAUAGAACACCGAUAGCGAAGGCAGCUCACUAGGUCUGGAUUGACGCUCAGGGACGAAAGCGUGGGGAGCAAACAGG